UUUCGGGGCGAGAUGUGUAGGUGCUGCAUGGUUGUCGUCAGCUCGUGCCGUGAGGUGUCGGCUUAAGUGCCAUAACGAGCGCAACCCUCAUCAUUAGUUACCAUCAGGUCAAGCUGGGGACUCUAAUGAGACUGCCAUCGUAAGAUGCGAGGAAGGUGGGGAUGACGUCAAAUCAGCACGGCCCUUACGUCCGGGGCGACACACGUGUUACAAUGGGUGGUACAAAGGGCAGCUACCUGGCGACAGGAUGCUAAUCUCCAAAAACCGCUCUCAGUUCGGAUCGGAGUCUGCAACUCGACUCCGUGAAGCUGGAUUCGCUAGUAAUCGCGCAUCAGCCACGGCGCGGUGAAUACGUUCCCGGGCCUU
rnacentral:rRNA from 1 species